UACGAAGGGGGCUAGCGUUGCUCGGAAUCACUGGGCGUAAAGCGCACGUAGGCGGAUCUUUAAGUCAGGGGUGAAAUCCUGGAGCUCAACUCCAGAACUGCCUUUGAUACUGGCGACCUUGAGUCCGGGAGAGGUGAGUGGAACUGCGAGUGUAGAGGUGAAAUUCGUAGAUAUUCGCAAGAACACCAGUGGCGAAGGCGGCUCACUGGCCCGGUACUGACGCUGAGGUGCGAAAGCGUGGGAGCAACAGG
rnacentral:rRNA from 1 species